GAUGGAGCCUUCUCUGACCCCAGGCUGGAGUGCAGUGGUGUGGUCCUGGCUCACUGCAACCUCCGCCUCCUGGGUUCAAGUGACUCUCCUGCCUCAGCCUCCUGAGUAGCUGGGAUUACAGGCAUGCACCACAAUGCCCAGCUAACAUAUUUUUAGUAGAGACGGGGUUUCACCAUGUUGGCCAGGCUGGUCUCUAACUCCUGACCUCAGGUGGUCCACCCACCUUGGGCUGCUUAGGAGGCUGAGACACCAGAUUCACUUGAACCUGGGAGGCAGAGAUUGCAGUGAGCAGAGAUUGUGACACUGCACUCCAGCCUGGGUGACAGAGCUAGACCCUGUUAAAAAAAAAAAAAUUCUUUAUUAUUCAAAUGCUUGUUCUGUAAUAACCUUACUCAAAGAAAUCAGUCUUGCUAUAUUGUUUUCUAAUGCUUGAGCUUAAAGACACAGGAAAACAAAAUGAACAGAAAACCUGUACUCAUGAAAUUUGUAAAUAUGAAAUACGAGAUAAGGUGAAUCCUGACCUCAAGUGAUUCGCCUGCCUUAGCCUCCCAAAGUGCCGGGAUUACAAGCAUGAGCCACCAUGCCCGGCCAGAUAAUGACAUCUUUAGUCUCACUAGUUUCCAAAGGUGGGAUCUGCCGUAUCAUACUCAGAAAUACUUGAAUGGCUUUCCCCAAGAACAAAACCACAGGCUUGCACACGAGAGCAUCUAAAGCGCUAGUCUGUGGGACUGACAAUUUUCUUCUUCUCUAUCCAUUUCCAUAGCAGUUUUCACAGAUUUGUGGCCAGAUGCUAGAGACAAAGGCUGAGAAGUUGUCCAGGACGUCAUAUUCUUGCUUUGCUGGAGGCAGAUCUGAAGGAUGUCAUCUCUCCUGUGGCUUCUUCUAGUGUGGGGUCCCGAAGCCUGGCUUCCCCAGCCGAUGUGCUGCUUUAGUCAGCGUCUGCCCUGGUCCUUCGGUUCGCAGGCUCACACGCUUUUUUGGGUUGUGUCCCUUUGGACUGCAGAGGCUACGUGUCCUGUGACCAACCACGAAGGCGGCCACUCCCGCUCCCCUCAGGAGUGUCUUAAAAUACCUCCAUUUUAGCUACCCUAUUGAAUGACAGGUUAGCUGGGUGCUGGGUUUUCAGGUGAUGGACAUUUUCCCUCAGUCCUCUGAAGGUGUUGCUGGCUUCAGGCAUUGAUGCCGCCACUCUGAUUGUUGUAUGCAGUGAGCAAACUAGAAUUUUCUCUUGGCUUUCUAGAUUUUCUUCUUUAUAUUCUGAAACUUUAUUAUAUCAAGGUUUGAAUUUUAUUUUUUUUGGAGACAGGGUCCUACUCUGUCAUCCAGGCUGGAGUGCAAUGGUGCAGUCCUGCUCACUGCAGCCUCCAAGUCCAGGGCUGAAGCGAUCCUUCUGCCUCAGCCUCCUAAGUAGCUGGGAUCACAGGUGUGCACCACUCUGCCUAACAAGGCUUGUUUUUUGUUUGUUUGUUUGUUUUAAAUAAAUACAUUCAGAUUGUUUUGCCCCUUGA
rnacentral:lncRNA from 1 species